rnacentral:rRNA from 2 species
AAUAGGGGAGCCGAAGGGAAACCGAGUCUUAACUGGGCGUUAAGUUGCAGGGUAUAGACCCGAAACCCGGUGAUCUAGCCAUGGGCAGGUUGAAGGUUGGGUAACACUAACUGGAGGACCGAACCGACUAAUGUUGAAAAAUUAGCGGAUGACUUGUGGCUGGGGGUGAAAGGCCAAUCAAACCGGGAGAUAGCUGGUUCUCCCCGAAAGCUAUUUAGGUAGCGCCUCGUGAAUUCAUCUCCGGGGGUAGAGCACUGUUUCGGCAAGGGGGUCAUCCCGACUUACCAACCCGAUGCAAACUGCGAAUACCGGAGAAUGUUAUCACGGGAGACACACGGCGGGUGCUAACGUCCGUCGUGAAGAGGGAAACAACCCAGACCGCCAGCUAAGGUCCCAAAGUCAUGGUUAAGUGGGAAACGAUGUGGGAAGGCCCAGACAGCCAGGAUGUUGGCUUAGAAGCAGCCAUCAUUUAAAGAAAGCGUAAUAGCUCACUGGUCGAGUCGGCCUGCGCGGAAGAUGUAACGGGGCUAAACCAUGCACCGAAGCUGCGGCAGCGACGCUUAUGCGUUGUUGGGUAGGGGAGCGUUCUGUAAGCCUGCGAAGGUGUGCUGUGAGGCAUGCUGGAGGUAUCAGAAGUGCGAAUGCUGACAUAAGUAACGAUAAAGCGGGUGAAAAGCCCGCUCGCCGGAAGACCAAGGGUUCCUGUCCAACGUUAAUCGGGGCAGGGUGAGUCGACCCCUAAGGCGAGGCCGAAAGGCGUAGUCGAUGGGAAACAGGUUAAUAUUCCUGUACUUGGUGUUACUGCGAAGGGGGGACGGAGAAGGCUAUGUUGGCCGGGCGACGGUUGUCCCGGUUUAAGCGUGUAGGCUGGUUUUCCAGGCAAAUCCGGAAAAUCAAGGCUGAGGCGUGAUGACGAGGCACUACGGUGCUGAAGUAACAAAUGCCCUGCUUCCAGGAAAAGCCUCUAAGCAUCAGGUAACAUCAAAUCGUACCCCAAACCGACACAGGUGGUCAGGUAGAGAAUACCAAGGCGCUUGAGAGAACUCGGGUGAAGGAACUAGGCAAAAUGGUGCCGUAACUUCGGGAGAAGGCACGCUGAUACGUAGGUGAAGUCCCUUGCGGGUGGAGCUGAAAUCAGUCGAAGAUACCAGCUGGCUGCAACUGUUUAUUAAAAACACAGCACUGUGCAAACACGAAAGUGGACGUAUACGGUGUGACGCCUGCCCGGUGCCGGAAGGUUAAUUGAUGGGGUUAGCGGUAACGCGAAGCUCUUGAUCGAAGCCCCGGUAAACGGCGGCCGUAACUAUAACGGUCCUAAGGUAGCGAAAUUCCUUGUCGGGUAAGUUCCGACCUGCACGAAUGGCGUAAUGAUGGCCAGGCUGUCUCCACCCGAGACUCAGUGAAAUUGAACUCGCUGUGAAGAUGCAGUGUACCCGCGGCAAGACGGAAAGACCCCGUGAACCUUUACUAUAGCUUGACACUGAACAUUGAGCCUUGAUGUGUAGGAUAGGUGGGAGGCUUUGAAGUGUGGACGCCAGUCUGCAUGGAGCCGACCUUGAAAUACCACCCUUUAAUGUUUGAUGUUCUAACGUUGGCCCCUAAUCGGGGUUGCGGACAGUGUCUGGUGGGUAGUUUGACUGGGGCGGUCUCCUCCUAAAGAGUAACGGAGGAGCACGAAGGUUGGCUAAUCCUGGUCGGACAUCAGGAGGUUAGUGCAAUGGCAUAAGCCAGCUUGACUGCGAGCGUGACGGCGCGAGCAGGUGCGAAAGCAGGUCAUAGUGAUCCGGUGGUUCUGAAUGGAAGGGCCAUCGCUCAACGGAUAAAAGGUACUCCGGGGAUAACAGGCUGAUACCGCCCAAGAGUUCAUAUCGACGGCGGUGUUUGGCACCUCGAUGUCGGCUCAUCACAUCCUGGGGCUGAAGUAGGUCCCAAGGGUAUGGCUGUUCGCCAUUUAAAGUGGUACGCGAGCUGGGUUUAGAACGUCGUGAGACAGUUCGGUCCCUAUCUGCCGUGGGCGCUGGAGAACUGAGGGGGGCUGCUCCUAGUACGAGAGGACCGGAGUGGACGCAUCACUGGUGUUCGGGUUGUCAUGCCAAUGGCACUGCCCGGUAGCUAAAUGCGGAAGAGAUAAGUGCUGAAAGCAUCUAAGCACGAAACUUGCCCCGAGAUGAGUUCUCCCUGACUCCUUGAGAGUCCUGAAGGAACGUUGAAGACGACGACGUUGAUAGGCCGGGUGUGUAAGCGCAGCGAUGCGUUGAGCUAACCGGUACUAAUGAACCGUGAGGCUUAACCUU